rnacentral:rRNA from 1 species
UACGAAGGGGCAAGCGUUGUUCGGAAUUACUGGGCGUAAAGGGCGCGCAGGCGGCCGUUCAAGUCAGAUGUGAAAGCCCGGGCUCAACCUGGGAACUAGCAUUUGGGACUGGAUGCUAGAGUUCGGGAGAGGAGAGUGGAAUUCCCAGUGUAGAGGUGAAAAUUCGUAGAUAUUGGGAAGAACACCGGUGGCGAAGGCGGCUCUCUGGACCGAUACGUG